GCAGGGUGCUCGAGUGGCGAACGGGUGAGUAACACGUGGGUGAUCUGCCCCUGACUUUGGGAUAAGCCUGGGAAACUGGGUCUAAUACCGGAUAUGACCAAGGAUUGCAUGGUUCUUGGUGGAAAGCUUUUGCGGUUGGGGAUGGGCCCGCGGCCUAUCAGCUUGUUGGUGGGGUAAUGGCCUACCAAGGCGACGACGGGUAGCCGACCUGAGAGGGUGAUCGGCCACACUGGGACUGAGACACGGCCCAGACUCCUACGGGAGGCAGCAGUGGGGAAUAUUGCACAAUGGGCGCAAGCCUGAUGCAGCGACGCCGCGUGAGGGAUGACGGCCUUCGGGUUGUAAACCUCUUUCAGCAGGGACGAAGCGCGAGUGACGGUACCUGCAGAAGAAGCACCGGCCAACUACGUGCCAGCAGCCGCGGUAAUACGUAGGGUGCGAGCGUUGUCCGGAAUUACUGGGCGUAAAGAGCUCGUAGGCGGUUUGUCGCGUCGUCUGUGAAAUUCUGCAGCUUAACUGCAG
rnacentral:rRNA from 1 species